CAACUUCCAAGUCACAUCUCUGCAAGUGCCUUCUCUGCGGCGGAGACAGGCCUCCUCAGAUCCUCACUGAGGUUUACAGAAGCCUGGAUAAAUAUUUAGUGAAGCUGAAUUUCCCCAUCCUGUUGGCAUCCUCAGCUCACCCCAGAGGACUUCCCCAUCCUUUUCCCUUCAGCUGGCAUCUCUGUCUGGCUGACAGAGGCAUUAAACUAAAGCCCCGCAUUUGCACUAUCUAGGAAGAUGCUGAAGUACCCAUCAGAUGAACACCCAUCUAGAGCAAAAUGGGCUGUUGUUUCUCAUCAUAGAGAGCACCUCUUCAUUUGUCCUGGUGGCACUGGAGGCUUCGAUGUGUCAUACAGUAUACCUCUUCAUCCCGUCAGUUCUACAGGCAAAUGUUCAUUGCAAUGAGACACUCAUCUAGUUCAAGGCCUCUGGUUUCUGGUUCACCAUCAUCACUGGAUCCUCACCGGAACAACUCUGGAUUAUCCUGUGGCUGCCAUUAGUCUGGGAGAUCUUUCAGGCUGCCAAUGUACUAAAGAAGAAACCCAGACAUCUCGGCCAAUGGGCUGCCACCUGCAUUGCUGCUGAGUUGAACACACUGCCAGGGAUAAAUAUCUCUUUACUUCAUGGACCAUUAACCUUUUCUUUAAACUCCUUCUUAAGCUUUGACCAUUUACCUAUAAAGUUGUAUUUCUCCCUUCAUACAACACAUAUUUUUGUGAAAUACAUUUUUAUGAUGAGCAACUUAAUGUCACCUGUAUCAAAUCUUUGUCAUUCAACAUGUCUCUCAGAAUGUAAAAAGCAAAACAUAGUAACUGUUAAUGCAUAAGUAUACCCUUCUGAACUUUGGGAGUAUUUGAUGAUUAGAUGCUAGCUAAUAUGCUUUGUGAGUUAUCUUUGUUCAUUGUCUAUGGCCAGAGCUCAGUUUCUCUCUCUUCUGUCACUGGUAUUAAUUUGACUAUCUCCAAAUAUGGCCUUCAGUGGCUUCUGAAUUCUAAUUAUUUGACAGCUCUUGUUUUGUAUUCUUGGAAUUCAGAGUCAUGAACCCCAAUAAAGUUUGUCUAGUGAUAAUGUGAU